CGAACGGCAGCACGGACUUCGGUCUGGGUGGCAGUGGCGAACGGGUGAGUAAUGUAUCGGAACGUGCCUAGUAGCGGGGAUAACUACGCAGAAAGCGUAGCUAAUACCGCAUACGCCCUUCGGGGGAAAAGCGAGACCUUCGGGCCUCGCACUAUUAGAGCGGCCGAUAUCGGAUUAGCUGGUUGGUGGGGUAACGGCUCGCAAGGCGACGAUCCGUAGCUGGUUUGAGAGAGGACGACCAGCCACACUGGGACUGAGACACGGCCCGAACUCCUACAGGAGGCAGCAGUGGGGAAUUUUGGACAAUGGGGAAACCCUGAUCAGCCAUCCCGCGUGUGCGAUGAAGGCCUUCGGGUUGUAAAGCACUUUUGGCAGAAAAAGCAGCGGGAUAAUACCCCGUGCAGCUGACGGUACCUGCAGAAUAAGCGCAAUAACGUGCCAGCAGCCGCGGUAAUACGUAGAAGUUUUAAGCGUUAAUCUGAAUUACUGGGCGUAAAGCGUGCGCAGGCAGUUCGGAAAGAAAGAUGUGAAAUCCCAGAGCUUAACUUUGGAACUGCAUUUUUAACUACCGAGCUAGAGUGUGUCAGAAGUGGAAUUCCGUAGUAUAGCAGUGAAAUGCGUAGAUAUGCGGAGGGAACACCGAUGGCGAAGUACAGCCUCACAGGAUAACACUGACGCUCAUGCACGAAAGCGUGGAGCAAACAGGAUUAGAUACCCUGUUAGUCCACGCCCUAAAGCGAUGUCAACUAGCUGUUGGGGCCUUCGGGCCUUGGUAGCGCAGCUAACGCGUGAAGUUGACCGCCUGGGGAGGCCGCGAUUCGCAAGAUUAAAACUCAAAGGAAUUGACGGGGACCCACUGGCAGUGGAUGAUGUGGAUUAAUUCAGUACAGCAUGAAAAGCCUUACCUACCCUUGACAUGUCUGGAAUCCCGAAGAGAUUUUGAGGGUGCUCGCAAGAGAACCGGAACACAGGUGCUGCAUAGCUGUCGAUAGCUCGUGUCGUGAGAUGUUGGGUUCAGUCCCUUAACUGAAGCGCAACCCUUGUCAUUAGUUGCUACGAAAGACGCUCUAAUGAGACUGCCGGUGACAAACCGGAGGAAGGUGGAUGACGUCAGUCCUCAUGGCCCUUAUGGGUAGGGCUUCACACGUCAUACAAUGGUCGGGACAGAGGGUCGCCAACCCGCGAGGGCUUCAAUCCCAAGCUUGAUCGUAGUCCGGAUCAUGAUCUGCAACUCGACUGCGUGAAGUCGGAAUCGCUAGUAAUCGCGGGGAUCAGCAUGUCGCGGUGAAUACGUUCCCGGGUCUUGUACCCCGCCCGUCACCGCAUGGGAGUGGGUUUUACCAGAAGUGAUUUAGCCUAACCGUAAGGAGGGCGGGUACCACAUUAGGAUUCAUGACUGGGGUGAAGUGUGUCGAAUGGCGC
rnacentral:rRNA from 1 species